rnacentral:rRNA from 1 species
CAGGCCUAACACAUGCAAGUCGAACGCAUCCUUCGGGGUGAGUGGCAGACGGGUGAGUAACACGUGGGAACGUACCCUUUGGUUCGGAAUAACGCAGGGAAACUUGCGCUAAUACCGGAUACGCCCUUUUGGGGAAAGGCUUGCUGCCGAAGGAUCGGCCCGCGUCCGAUUAGCUUGUUGGUGAGGUAAUGGCUCACCAAGGCUUCGAUCGCUAGCUGGUCUGAGAGGAUGACCAGCCACAUUGGGACUGAGACACGGCCCAAACUCCUACGGGAGGCAGCAGUGGGGAAUAUUGGACAAUGGGCGCAAGCCUGAUCCAGCCAUGCCGCGUGAGUGAUGACGGCCUUAGGGUUGUAAAGCUCUUUUACCUGGGAAGAUAAUGACGGUAGCCAGGAGCAUAAGCCCCGGCUAACUUCGUGCCAGCAGCCGCGGUAAU